CUGCUUAAUAUAUGCUCUCACAGAGGCAGACAAUGCCUACUGAGUCUUGCUUUUAAAUAGAUUACGCAGGAUUCACACAAACAGCGUGCCAUUUAGGAGGGAGGAAAAAAGAAAAUCACUGCAAACUGUCUCUGGGCCCCUAUCCACUCACCAGCCUGUCACAGAGGGCUUUGAGGUGGCAGCCCCAGAAAUGAAUGGAACACACAACAGUCCCUCUAUGGAACCAUAUGGAGCUACAGCAUCGGAGGGCCAUGCAGCUCUGGGUAGCUUAUAGGGAGGCCCGCAGUUGCCCAGACAGUCUACAGGGGUCGCUGGUGCACGGUGAGCCAAGGACACCCUGGCUGACCUAGACCAUCCCCACCCGGGCGGUGCUUGGUCAAUUGUGCACUACCUGCUGGGAGCUCCCAUCCAUGGUCGACAGUGGAAUAGCCUGUACUUGAACCAGCGACCUCCAGGCUAUAGGGUGUAGCUUGUACUCCAUGCAGAGUGCCUUUACUGGAUGUGCACUCAGGAGCCCCAUUUAACUCCCUUAUUUCUACAAGUAAGCUGGUAUUUACUAACGUGAAUGCACCUUUGUAGCAGGGGAGGUCUGUGCUGACUGUUUGGCGUAUAUGUGGUACUGCAGGAAGGGGGGCAGCGGCCUCGUAGAUCUGCCUGUCAGUCAUUGCAGUGACACUAGAGGUGGGGAAUAGGACGUGUUGGCUCUCUGAGUGGCUCAGAGGCAGGCCUGGGGACCCUAUAAAAUAGCGCUUUGCUGUUUCCCUCAACCAGUCAAAGACAAAAUGAGCCAGCUGGUGGAAGCUAUGCUGCCGGACAAAGCACUGUCAGAGAAGAACGAGCAAAAUAUAUAAUUAAAAAGAAAAAAAAAAGGAACUUUUAGGAGCAGGGAACAACUUUGGCAGAACCCUGAACAGUACGUGCAGGUUGAGGAAACGGGUGAACGUAAGACGGAGACCUGGGUCGUGCAGAUAGCGAUGGCUGGGGUAACGCUGCUGAGUGCAGCACCUUUAUUUUGUAGUUUUAUUACUUUGUAUUUUUCCUUUCGACUUUCGGUUUGCUGAUUACACUAUGUAACACAUUUUUUGUUCCUGGGUAGUAAGUGUUAUUUCUU